rnacentral:lncRNA from 1 species
CAGGAAUUAGAAGAAAAAAAAAAAAAAAAAAAAAGGGAAAAGAAAAAAAGAAAGAAAGAGAAAAAAGAAACAACCACCGCCCCGGGGGUGAAGCUCCCUCGCUCCCAACUCUACUUCUUGGUCUCCCCCCCACCCCCCGCUCCCCCCCCCUUCUGCUGCUUCCUCCUCCUCCUCCUCCUCUCGCAGCAGCAGUCACAGCAGCAGCAGCAGCAGCCCAAAGGGGGGGAGAGCCGGGCGGCGGGCGGGCGCGUCCCGGAGCGGCCGCGGCGAGGCUGGGGAGACAGCGAUCGAGGCGGCUAUAGCCACAAUUAAUUUUCCGAGCUACAGGCGCACACUAGGGCUGUAAAAAAAUUUUUGGUUUAACCUUUCCUACCGCUCGGCCAAUCAGAGCCGGCGGCGUGCGGGAGCGUCUCUCCCGCCGUCGACCAAUCGGCGGACCCGGGCCCACCCACCCCCGCCCCGCCCGCCGGCUCCCGCCCCCUCGGCGCUCGCCUCCCCCUCGCCGCGGGCCUGGGCCUCGCGGCCGCGCGGAGCCGCGUAGGGAUACGCCGUCCGGAGCACGCUGCGCCGCGGCCCUCUCGGCGCCCCCGCCACCCCCUCCGCCCUGCGGGCCGCUCCGCCGAGGUCCCCCUCUUAGGGCAGAUAGCUCACAUUUCCGGCUGCCUCCUCGCCGUGUCGGGCCAUUUUCGUUUGAGCGUCAAUGUUUGUCGUUAUUGAUUAAAGUUUGUAUUCCAUUUCAUUUUUAAAAGCGGGGGCGGGGGCGGGGGCGGGGGCGGCCGCGGCGGUGGGGCGGAGAGUGUGGGAGUGCGGGGACGGGGUGCGAGGAGAGGGCAGGAAAUGGAGGAGGAAGAGGCGAGGCGCGACCGGCCCCGAGUCGGCCCUCCAGGCCCGGGGCGGCAUUGCCGAGCCCGUAGGAAAACUGUGCCCCUCAUGCAUAGGGAGUCCCUGACCCCAGGACGUUUGGGAACAAGUGGAACUCAUGCAGAGGCAUCCAGGUAUUUCCAGAGACUGACGAGCCGAGGUCUGCAAUCCCUUCCUAACAGCAGGUUAGCUCUAAGAGAUACCACUGGCCAAAUGGAAUGAGUUUUUCCUUCCCUGUAUGGCAGAAUGAUCAGUCACAGUGAAGCAGGUAUAAUUACGCGGUCUUCUCUUCUGUACCAGGCCUGUUUGAAAUGAGUGUUUGUCCCAGGUAAAAAAUUUGUUUGGAAAAAACAAUUUGUUUGGAAAGAAAACAAAACAAAUAACAAAGUAGUAUUGGCAUUAGUUGCGCACAUAUACGUGUUUUUAAGUGCUAUAUUGGUUGAAGAGUUGUUGUGAGUGUGUUAUCAGGAACCUAGGGUUGCAUUAAGUUGCCUGUCCUUCCUCAGGAAUAAUGCUGUACCCCUCACCCAAGUUCUGAGCCAUCUGCUGGAGAUGUAUUAACUCCUUGUUAGAAAAGCAGCUUCUAGCUCUCCUAGUUGAAUAUGAAGUUUAGAUGGUUUCAUACUCUUCUUUCAUAGUGAGCUUAGUGGUCUAGUUUCAGAAUCUCAGCCAGAGCCAGGCCUGACACAUUAAAAAAUGUCUUUGGCCAUAGGUGUCAACAAUCUUUCCAUAUCAUUCAUGACUAACCUGUAAAGGUCAUUUAACAUGUUAUAAAGUUGCAUGGGUACUUUCCUUGCACUGACCCUAUGAAACAGCACUUUGGUAUAUGUCCCCCUUGUUCUUUGCACCAGAAACCGAUUCUUUUUGGUCAGGUUAGGUAGUUUAUCAUUUUUGAGAGAAGAGCUCUGCACUUAAAGGAUGUUCUUAAAUUAUAAAGGGUUUGGCAUUUAGGUGUUUAGAUUAUUGACUAGAAGUGAUCAAAUGGAAGAGGUGAGGGGUUCGUUUGUUUAAUUGAAUUGAAUACAUUGUCCAUUGUAAGGUGCGCCAUUGUUUUAUAGAUCAUGAAGGAAAACAAGUGCUGCAAAUUUUCUGUGACAUGCCAUAAACUGUGAGGUGCAUCCACACUUCAUAGAUAUUAAAAUAUGUACAUCUCAUAAUCGUAUGCAAUGUGGUAUUUCCUUAUCUGCUUUGAAAUGAAUUUAGGUACAAUGACAGCAUAGCUUCUUGGGAAGAUAUGUCUAGUAAAAAUACAGAUUGUCGGGAUCCCUGGGUGGCGCAGCGGUUUGGCGCCUGCCUUUGGCCCAGGGCGUGAUCCUGGAGACUCGGGAUCGAAUCCCACGUCGGGCUCCCGGUGCAUGGAGCCUGCUUCUCCCUCUGCCUAUGUCUCUGCCUCUCUCUCACUCACUGUGUGCCUAUCAUAAAUAUAAAAUAAAAGAAAAAAAAAGAAAAAAAAUACAGAUUGUCUACAACAAUGUGAAGAACCAUAUGAUUACAAAGAAAUUUUAUAAUAGGACAAUUAUAAAUUUCAGCAUGUUCUCAGAUAUUUGAAAAAUAAUUGCUGGAAACUCUUUAAUUUUUGAUAGGAAUUCUAAGAAAUCUCAGGGUUUCUAAGUAAUAUCUUUAUAUUAAAAGAAAAAAUAGUCCAUAUUUUGGAAAAAUCUUCCUAAUAUAAAACUGAUUCUGGAUUGUUGGGUGAGAAGCUUUAUUCUUCCCUUGGAGGUUUUUCUGAGUGGAACUUUCUAGUUUUGUUAUUAUGGUGUAGUGUUAUGGUAUGGUCUACUAGGCAGACAUGCCACUAUCUGCACCUUGCAGAUCAAGGCAGUAGGUAAGAAUCUAAAGUCUCUUCUGUCCUUAUAUAUCAGUUAGAAGUGUAUAUUUUUUAAUAAAAUAUUUUAUAAAAUCUUUAAUUUUUGCUUACUUCUAAUUUUGGCUUAACACGACUCACUAUACAAAAAUUUCCAGUAUGAAAAUAAAUACAAAUCACCUAUUAAAACGAACCCAGAAGGAUGCCUGGAUGGCUCAGUUGGUUGAAUGUCUGCCUUCAGCUCAGGCCAUGAUCCUGGGGUCCUGGGAUCCAGCAUCAUAUCAGGCUCCCUGUUCAGGGGGGAGUCUGCUUCUCCUUCUCUCUCUGCCCCUCUCCCUACUUGUGCACGUGCUCUCUCUCUCAAAUAAAUAAAUAAAAUCUAAAUAAAAUAAAAUAAAAUAAAACAAACCCAGAGGUAACCUCACUUAUCAUUUUACAUAAUUUUUAAAAGUUGGGCCUUUUCCUAUGUAUAAAUGUACAAUACUAUAUGGUACAUUUUAAACAAUUCAAAUGGUCCUGUGUGUAUGCUUUGUGUUCUGCCUUUUUUGAUUCAAUGUUUUACCAUCAGCAUUUCCCCAUCACAAUUUUGAUUUUUGAAAACUGCUAUUAAUUUAUGGAUCAACAUGUUUAUAUUAAUUUAUGAAUUGAUUUACAUUUAGGUUGUUUCUACUUUUUCAUCAUUAAAAUGACUUGAGAUGUUUCCAGAACUCUAUUUCCUUUUAAUAGAUUUUUUUUAGGGGAUGGAUAUUUUGGGUCUCACAGUAUGAAUUUUCUUACACUGGCAAUCUGUUAAAGUAUGUGUCUUAUUGAACCAUUAUUAAAUAUUAACUUUUCUUUUGUAAGUUGAAGAGGAAAAAUAUAUCUAAAACUUGCUUUAAUGUGUAUUUUUUUUUAUCUUACCAUCAAGAUUAAAGUAUUUUUUUCGAGUAUUAUUUACAUUUUUUAUUUCUUCUUCUGUAAUGUAUCUUUAUGUAUUUUGUCUAUUUUUGUGCUGUUUAAUCUUUUAUUUUAGUUACAAUAUUG